UAUUCAAUACCCAAGGAGAGGUUUUUAUUUUUUACAGAUAUUUGAGUGACUUAAGGUCAUUCUGGCAUUUGGGAGCAGCGAAAGACAAGUUCUGUCGAAUGGGGCGACAGAUAAAAAGCUGGCCUUCAUGCAUGAGGAGGGAAUAAGGGAUCCCUCUGUCUGUCUCUGUGAAGACAAAGAAGAAAACAGAGCACACAAGUGGAGGAAUAAUCAGUAAAACUACAGAUACACAGGAGCAUAGACAAGAUUAUUGACAAGCAGGAAGUCUGUUUGACAGUGAUACCCUCAAACACAAAUUAGACGCCAACAAGGAGUCAUCAUUAGCAAAACCACGAGGGCAUUUGUUGUUGCAUGAAUAAUCCUAGUUUAUAAAAUGUUGUCUUUAGUCCCCAGCUGUGGAACAACUUGAUUCUCCUGAACCUCCAAUGAGUCAGAUACAUGAGCCAAAUAACGGACAUAAAUUUGAAUAAUUGUCCUUCCACCUAAUCUUUCAAUAAAAGUUCUUACAAAUCAA